rnacentral:misc_RNA from 1 species
CGAGAGUUCCAUCGGCCAUAGUGUUCUGUGUAAUGCACUGUUUCGAAACUAUACGCAAAAGAUCAACAUAAAAUGAGUGCUUAUGGGUCUGUGGGAUAACCUAAAGACUUGGUUAAUCAUGUUUAAGGAGUAAAUCUUACAAGAAAUGGUAACUGGUGAAAACGACCUGACUCAAAUUGUGCCAAUGGAGGGUGUGUGUGUUGCUGAUGAGGAGAAGGUCCUCUGCAUCAUCAGUGACCUGGUGAACGUCACCAAGCCGGGAUGCAAGCACACCCUGAAUCUGCCAGCAUCUACCUCCGUGAGGGAGACGCUGAAGGAGAUGGUGAAGAUUUGCAACUAUGACCCCGAGACUGUCCUCAUUCACUAUGAAAUUACGCAUGGAGGAGGGGAUGAUGAUGUGAUUCUCAGCAAUGUAACAGAUAAAGCACUUGGAGCUAUCGUAGUUCCAAACAUACGGAAACACUCCUUCACUGUCCACGAGAAGGAAGGAGUGACGCCCAAAAAGAUGGAAAGCGAGACGUCCACAUCUGGCUAUGAGAGUCAGGCGUCCAGUAGCACCUCGUACACCAGCGGCGACACCUACACCAGCUACUCAUCGACGUCACACACAGACCCCUCCUACUCAUAUGCUUCAGCUCUCAUCAAAUCAGACACAGGGUAUGUUGGCCUCGUGAACCAGGCAAUGACGUGCUACCUGAACAGCCUGCUACAGACCCUGUACAUGACGCCAGAGUUCAGGGAUGCAAUCUACAGGUGGGAGUUCAAUGGGCCAGAUGAGGAGGUUGUGAAGAGUAUUCCCUUUCAGCUCCAGAAUCUGUUUCUACAACUACAGACAAGUAAGAAGAAGUCGGUGGAGACGACGGACUUGACCCGCAGCUUUGGCUGGGACAGCAGUGAAGUGUGGCAGCAGCAUGAUGUACAGGAGCUGUGUCGAGUUAUGUUUGAUGCCCUGGAACACACGUGGAAGAAUACAGACCAAGCCCAUCUCAUCAACCACCUCUACCAGGGAAAGCUCAAGGACUAUGUCAAAUGUCUUGAAUGUGGUUAUGAGAGUGCUCGCACCGACGCCUACCUAGACAUUCCCCUUGUUAUCCGGCCAUUUGGAUCCAACCAGGUGCAUGGAAGUGUGGAACAAGCACUGGAUGCGUUUGUUCAGCCUGAGAUCCUGGAUUGCAGCAAUCAGUAUUUCUGUGAACGUUGCAACAAGAAGUGCAAUGCCCAUAAGGGUUUGAAGUUUGUGUCAUUUCCCUACCUCCUAACACUACAGUUGAAAAGGUUUGACUUUGAUUAUGCAACAAUGCACCGCAUCAAACUCAACGACAGGAUGACGUUUGCGGAAGUGUUGAACCUCAAUCGGUUUGUGACCCCGGAGACUCCCUCCAAGGAGCAGAAGGUGGACGAAGCUGCCGAGGUUACCAAACCCAGCGCCGUCACCAGUAAUGGUCCUACAGACAGCAGUGAUGAGGGUAUAGACGAGGGUAUUGAGGUGGAGAAUGGGCUGUCUGGAGCUUCCUCCAGCAGUGACUCAUCUAGUCUCAGCAGUGAAGCUGCAACCAAUGACAAGAAUGCCAGGGAAUCCGUGUGUCAGGGCCCGUAUGAGUAUGAGUUAUUUUCUAUAAUGAUUCACUCCGGCAGUGCAGCAGGAGGGCACUACUAUGCUUAUAUCAAGUCUUUCAAAGAUGGUCAGUGGUAUAGUUUCAAUGAUCAGCAAGUCACAAGGAUAACAUAUGAUGAUAUCCGGAAGACCUAUGGAGGGUCCAGCCUGGGGAGGGGCUUCUACUCCUCUGCUUAUGCAAGCUCCACAAAUGCCUACAUGCUCAUGUACAGACAGAUUGACAAGCUCAGAAAUGCAGAGUGCAUGAUGCCGGAUGAUUUCCCCAAACACCUGAAGAGGGCGUUGCAGAAACAACAGGAGCAGGAAGAGGCAGAGAGAAAACAGCGGGAGAUAGACAAGUCCACCUGCAAGAUCAAGCUGUACUGUUUUCACCCAAGCAAUAAAAAGAAGAUGGAGUCGAAGUUUGAAGUUCAUAAAGACAAGACGUUGAAACAAGCCACAGAAAUGGCCUUCAAGUCGUUCGAGAUCGACAACGUAAUAGCUCUGUCAGACUGCCGCCUGGUUAAGUAUGAUGAGUACUCGGACUCCCUGGAGAAGUCAUUCGAUGGCGAGGACGACAGCUCCAUGGGCUGUCUUCUGGGAGGCGUCAAGUCCUGCUACAACUUCGACCUCCUGCUGGAGACCAAGCGACCUGACCAGAAGUUCCAGGAGUACAAGCCAGGAGGUGUGACCGUGAAGGUGUAUGUGGUGGACUCCAAGCAGGGAGAGAUCCACCCUCCGGUCAGCGUACGCGCCUACCAUGUCCAGACUGUCAGCGAGUUCAAGAACCUCGUCACACAGACCUUGGAACUCGAGUCAACGGAGAUGACCUGUGUCUUGGAAAGAUUCCACAAUGACCUAAGACCUCUCACAGUGCCAAACAAAACACUAAAAGCUGAAGGCUUUUUCAAAAGUAAUAAGGUGUACAUCCAGUACCCACACGACGAGGACGACAUGUACACCCCAUUCCUCAAGACCAAGUUCUACCAGCUGCUGGACCGACAUCAGAACACAAUUCGCAUAAACGUCACCAUCCCCACUCCAGAGGAUGUGGAGGACUACGUCAAAUCUAUCCAGCAGAGUCUCCUGCGUCGACAUCAGCUCACACUACGGGCCGACCCCUCCUCCAUGUGCAAUGAUGCCACAAGUGACUCUCCUGAUAUCGACGAGGGUAUCAGUGACCCUGUGGAUGGAAUAGAUCAUAAAAUGCGGGCCAUGGCUAUUCAUGGUUGCCAUAGUGACCCUUCUGUGUAUCAUAGUUGCCAAGACAACAGUGACAUCUCUCCUCAGGAGUCUGGGUCCGAGGGUCGUAGUAGCAGCCCCGUUGGACCCAGUACAAGUAGUCAGGAUACGAGCACAAGUGCGGAGUUCAGUCUCACCACGAACUACACGAACAAUGACGGUCAGUCCACAUCGCCAGACGAUCUUCAGCAGUUCAGUGAUAAGGGCUCCGGGGCUGUGGAGCACAGUUUCAGUGACCCCGAGCAGGUGUCGCCUCCGUGUCAAGUCUCGCCAAAUGGCGACUCAGGUGACAAAGAUAGUGACUUCAAGCGUGAAGAGAACUGGGACCUGGAGAUCGGCGACACGGCAGACAGUGUGUGUUCCAGCAUCACGUCCAGCAUGUCGGGGAAGGAGGCCAUGGAGGAGGAGGAGGCCGAACCUCCACGCUACUUCACCGCCAUGCCCAGCGACCCCCUGCCAGACACCAACCAAAGAAGUUUGACUGUGUUCGUGGACAAGAGGAUCACUCUUGGUGCAUUCAAGAAGGAGCUGGAGCCUUAUGUGGGGACUGUCAUGGAAAACUUUAAGGUGUACCGUGUGUACUCCAACAAUCAGGAGUUUGAGAGUAUCCGGCUCACCGACACGCUCUCUUUCUUGGAGGAUGGAAAGCUGAACAUCAAACUUGGCCGUGCGCUCCGCCCCGGGGAACACAGGGUAAAGGUGUACCUCCUGUCUGUCAAUGAAACAGAGCCGUGUAAGUUCCUGGUGGAGACCAUCCUAGCCAAGGGGAUGACAGUGCUGGAGUCCAAGAAGCUGAUUCUCCCCGAGAUCAAGGAACAGUGUGAGAUGGAGAUACCGCUAGACAGGUGUCGAUUACGAAAGAAAACAUGGAAGAAUCCUGGAACAGUCUAUAUCGAUUCUCAAAUCUAUGAGGAUGAAAUUGCCAUUUUCCCCAACUGGGAGGUGUACCUAGAAAUCCUGGAUGCUCCUGAGCUGAUGACGUCCAUGUCCCAGCUUGCUCUCUACAUCAGGCGAUGGCACCCAUCAACGUACGAAAUUGAUCCAUUCCAAGAAAUAGUUCUCAACCAGCAGACAGUGGAGGAACUCAAACUUAGGAUAGCCGAGAAGAGUCUUGUCCCAGGAGAAAACGUGGACUUUGCCAAGGGCAAGGGCACGUUCCCGUGUGAGACAUCGGUACUGGAGAUACAACAAGAUCUCGACUGGAACCCUCAGGUCUCCACCCUCAACGUGUGGCCUCUCUAUAUCUGUGAUGAUGGACAUGUGAUAUUUUACAGGGAUAAAACUGAAGAAAUAAUGGAGCUCUCGGAAGAAAAGAAGAAGGAAAUUCAGCAGAAAGAAAAUAUCAGAAUAUCUCGCUCCAGUCAAAGGCUGACUUACUCACCUCGUAAAGAGAAAGCUCUGAAGAUCUACACAGGAGAAGAUAACCCUCCUUCCAGCAGCAAGUCCUCGCCAGAUCUUGACUGAUUGUGUCCCCUUGAUUCUCAGUAAUAGUUCCUAUAAUCGACCGUUUGUGCCCUCCGUGUGUGUGGAUGUUAGGUCUCCCUGUGGAACGUCCUUGUUAUACCUGUAAACCAACAAACUCCAGGCUUCAGAGGGUUCUGUCAUCUUCACAAUGAUGGCAUUUUUAUGUAGUUAUAUGAUUCAACCAAAAGUAUGAUGGCAUCACAAUAUUGAAUUAGCUGUCAUAGAGUUCAUUCAGCAAGUGUGAAGUUUCCCCAAGUUGUUCAUUUGGAGAUUUUAAUGAUGUUGAUGAAUUGUAUUGCUGACCCCCACAGUUCAACUUAUGACCUUGAGAAUUUUCUGCUGCAGUGCCCUUCAUGGAGGCAUAAGUAUCUAUCAAGUCUGAAGUUCUUUUUAUUUGUCCUUUCAAACAUGAAAUCAUUUGUGUCUUGGCUGUAUUUCGCUAUAUGUUGCUUACGAGGGGGUUGGUUCUGAAGUUGAUGAGCCAGCAUCAGGCCAAAUGCCCAAUACACUGAUGUAAUAAUACACUAAUGUAAGGACAGGCAUCAUGGUAUGCAAGUCCACAGUGAAGCAUCAUCUGAUGGCUGUGCUGAAACAGGAGGCAGGCCAUGAUGUGUGCUUACAGAUGCCGUCUGUUUAAAUGUUGAUAGAAACAUUGCAACAAGUUAUCUCAUAAGUAGUGGAGUACCAAUAACACUUGUGGAGGAUCAUUUCAAGGAUGGCUGACAGUCCUCGGGGAAGACAAAGGAUCAUCAGAGUCAUUCUUCUUAGCCAGUUCUGAAGUGAAACCAGGCACGUGGGGAGAAGUCUGCUAGCUAUGUUGUCAGUCAGCAAAUUGUCAGGGAAGUGGUAUAUCUACUGUGGCUGCCUUCUUGUCCAGAUGUGAGGUGAGAAGUCUUCUGCUUUUGUUGUCAGAUAGUAAGUUGUCAAGGAAAUGGUAUACCUACAGUCUGACUUCUUGUCCAGAUGUGAGGUAAAGCCAGGCACUUUGUUGAGAAAUCUUCUGUCCGUGUUGUCAGGGAAGCAGUAUAAGUCUUCAGACUGAUUCUAUGUAGCCAAGCACUCUGUGGAGAAGUCUUCUGCCCAUAUUGUCAAGGAAGAAGUACAAGUCUUUAGACAGAUUCUAUGUUGCCAAGCACUGAUUCUGGUGUUGCCAAGUGUUUUGUGGAGAAAUCUUCUGCACAUAUUGUCGAGGAAGCAGUAUAAGUCUUCAGACUGAUUCUGGUGUUGCCAAGUGCUUUGUGGAGAAGUAUUCUGCCCUAUUGUCAAUCAAUAAGUUGUCAGGGUAUCAGUAUGAGUAUUGAGGCUGACUUGUGGGGUAAAGCCAGGUACUAGGUGAAGAAGUCCUCCGUAUUUGUCGUCAGGGAAGUAGUAUAAAUGUGUGGGACUGGUCGAGAUGUGUGGUGAUUGAAGCCGGAGAAGUCUUCCCAUGUGUUGUCUGUCAGCAGUUGUCAGGGAAGCAGUGUAUCUGCCGAUGUCUGAACACAUGUGAUAGAUGGGCUUGUUGGUGACUUGGGCUCUGAAGGAACACGUUUAAGUCAAACAGUUGGAAGGAUGCAAAGUAUAACAAGAUAUUUUUACAAUGCUGUCAUCAUCACAGUGUAUCGAAGCUUGCGGAAGAUACACACACGAAGCACUGCUGCUAACACUGGGAUAGUAUUGUUCAGUGGGGUUUGGUAGUACCUUCCCGGACCCACCUGCACAAAGAGAUCGUAGCACUAAGACUAUUGUGAUGCAUAUACUUUAAAAUAGACUUACAAUAGUUGUGUUCCAGGACCACUUUGUGUAUGCAGACCCUGGACAUGACUGAAUAUAGUAUGGCUAUACUUUUACAACAAAUACUGAUGUUGCUGCAUCCUCAGCAGCAGCAACAACUACAACCACUGCUACUGCUUCUACAGCAACUGUUACUGCUACCAUGACAGCGAUGAUGUCCACACACACAGGGUCAAGGCCAGGGCUCCGCCCUGAAGGUGGCAGCACAUGCGAGUGUAGCUGGCCGUCUCUGCCCUGGUGCAACUAUCCCGAUCUCAUGUGUGUCCUAGCUAGGUCUAGACAUGUCUCUUGUUAAUGUCCUUCUUAUAUCCAUAAUCAUUAUGAUAAGCUGUGAUGAUGAUGAUGAUGAUGAUGAUGAUGAUGAGUUAGACUGGAGAGGGAAGUCAUUGUCUUAUAACAAAUGAUAUACAUAAUUCAUACCAAUGAUCUGGUUGAUUGUGAUUUUGCAUCUAACCCUUAUAAUGGUAGCAUCUGGGAGGUGUUAUAUAAGUCUUGGUACAAAAGUUCAUCAAGUGAUAACUACUGUUCUUUGUCAAAUUAGUUCUGAGAUGAUCUACUAAACUAAAUAGUGUUAACAGCUGGAUUCAUUACAACAUACCGUAUUCGACCCAAUAAGCGCCCAUGUCCCAAUAAGCGCCUCCCCCUUCUGUCUUUAUUUUAAGCGCCCUGGGCGCUUAUUGGGUCGAAUUCGGUAAGCAUUUUCCUUUGUGCAUUGCUGCUGAGGCAGUGUGAAACGGUAAUCUCCGUGUUUACAUCACUAUGUAUUAUUAAUCAAGUUGUCCCUGUGUUUGCUCAAUACUUAACUUCUACUUAUUAACCAUCAGAAACCUGAUUGCUUCAUGCAGACUCCAUAAACAUUCACUCAUUCUGGGGCUUCACACUUUGUUUGUAUUUAGAAUAAAAAUGGUUAAAUUUUAAGAAAGUGAACUUGUGGAAAUAUGAGGAUAGGGAAUCCCAGUCCAGCCGUAAGCUUGAUGGAAUCCAGGUGGUAUGUGAUACGUGUCCUCUAUGUACAGAUGAUGUGUGUGACCUUUGUACUCCAGGAUGGGGAAACAGGCUUCCGAGACUCACAGCCUGCGCAUGUCUCUGUGGGUCUCCGACUGUGUACACCAGGACUCACAGCCUGUGCAUGUCUCUGUGGGUCUCCGACUGUGUACACCAGGACUCACAGCCUGUGCAUGUCUCUGUGGGUCUCCGACUGUACACCAGGACUCACAGCCUGUGCAUGUCUCUUUGGGUCUCCAACUGUGUACACCAGGACUCACAGCCUGUGCAGGUCUCUGUGGGUCUCCAACUGUACACCAGGACUCACAGCCUGUGCAGGUCUCUGUGGGUCUCCGACUGUGUACACCAGGACUCACAGCCUGUGCAUGUCUCUACGGGUCUCCGACUGUGUACACCAGGACUCACAGCCUGUGCAUGUCUCUGUGGGUCUCCGACUGUACACCAGGACUCACAGCCUGUGCAGGUCUCUGUGGGUCUCCGACUGUGUACACCAGGACUCACAGCCUGUGCAGGUCUCUGUGGAUCUCCGACUGUGUACACCAGGACUCACAGCCUGUGCAUGUCUCUGUGGGUCUCCGACUGUGUACACCAGGACUGACAGCCUGUGCAUGUCUCUACGGGUCUCCGACUGUGUACACCAGGACUCACAGCCUGUGCAUGUCUCUGUUGGUCUCCAACUGUACACCAGGACUCACAGCCUGUGCAUGUCUCUCGGGUCUCCGACUGUGUACACCAGGACUCACAGCCUGUGCAUGUCUCUACGGGUCUCCGACUGUGUACACCAGGACUCACAGCCUGUGCAUGUCUCUGUGGGUCUCCGACUGUAGACCAGGACUCACAGCCUGUGCAGGUCUCUGUGGGUCUCCGACUGUGUACACCAGGACUCACAGCCUGUGCAGGUCUCUGUGGGUCUCCGACUGUAGACCAGGACUCACAGCCUGUGCACGUCUCGGUGGGUCUCUGACUGUGUACACCAGGACUCACAGCCUGUGCAUGUCUCUACGGGUCUCCGACUGUGUACACCAGGACUCACAGCCUGUGCAUGUCUCUGUGGGUCUCCGACUGUGUACACCAGGACUCACAGCCUGUGCAUGUCUCUACGGGUCUCCGACUGUGUACACCAGGACUCACAGCCUGUGCAGGUCUCUGUGGGUCUCCGACUGUGUCCUGGACACCAACUGGUUCAAGGGUUAAAAAUUCCAUGUUGAUUAAAUCAAAUAAUUUUUGAGUGAUUUGUGUGUUUGGAUUUAUGUAUGUACAUACUGAAAUAUAACCACGGAGUCUGACUUCAGGUAUUGAUAUUUGAUAUUGAUGCUGUAGUGUUAUGUUCUGAAGGAACUUUUUGUCUUUGGAAACAAACAAGCAGUAUUUUGAUCCAGGUAAAGAAAUGUGUUGAUUUCCUGAAGAGAAUUGUUUCAAUGAACACCCACUAUUUUAUGUUGUUUAGUUAAAAAAAAAUUUCAGCCACUAUAUAAGGCCACACUCAUUCAUUUCAUAUUAAGGUCAAAUUAAGGAGGUUACAGAUAAGGUCAAGGCCAGAUGCAGGUUUGAUCUUGUUGUACAGACAGAACCUUUGCGAAAAUAAGAAAUUUAUUUAAAUGAAGAUGAUGUGUUUGAUUGAAACUAUACUUUAUUUUUCACGUUUUUGUUUUUAGUUUUGUUAAGACUCUUACCAAAUUCGCCGUAUAAAGACCCUGACCAACUUCUAGACCAAUCUGUAGAUAAUCUUUAUACGCCCCCUACAAAAACCAGAACUUUACAGGAUAGUUCUUAUUUUCAUGAGUGUAUUACAGAUUUAUUUACAGAAAACAGCAGGGGUGUGUCCUGUAUAUAUUUGCCUUGUAACUAUUAUCAAAAAUGUUUUAGCAUCGAUGUUUGAACUUAGUUCUAAACCACCUGAAAUCAGAUUUAACAUGAGUAUGGUUUCAAUAACACCCUCUUUGUUAACUUACAGUGAGUAUGGUUUGGUAUGUUUUUGGCAUUUUGACCAAGGAAAUCUUUAAAACAAGAAAAUAUAUUGAUCUGGCCUAAAAAGGAAGUUUUGAAAUGAAACAGUCCCCUGAAGAAGUAAUUUCUCACCACAGACCCAGACUGCAUCUGUCCUUCCAACCAUUGCCUAUUGAUGGCGGUGUUUAUGGAGAGGAGCGUCCUCCGUAUUAUGCUCCGCUGUUUAUGCCAGGGAUGUACAUGAUGGUGGAUCUUGCUUCAGACAGAAAUUUGUCUCAUUCAUGAAAUCAUCAACUAAAUCUUUAAAAGAAUGUUUUAGACCAAGUAGUAAUUUCAGUAAUCAAGUUGUCUUUUGUUUUGGAGUUUUUUAAGUGAUUGGAAUUUGUAAAAUGUUUCUGAUAUGGAUGCCUGUAUACAUAUGCUGACACUGUUGGACACUGAUGUUUCACUUUGACAAGUUUUGUAUGGAACACAAUAAUGCUAGAACACUACACUGUCAGUUGCGUGGGUUUGUGUGCACCGACAUCAAACAGGGCUUUCAGCAAAGGGACAUAACUGCUGAUGUUUUGAUAAUCCUAGUCUGAAACAAGCUUGACCACAAUUUCAGUGCAUUUUACCUGUUUUUGUGAAAAGAGUAUCCUGUAGUGUAAAAUACCAUUGUUUAUGCUUGAGAUAAAUUACGUUAUGUCAACAAGAGUGCUAUACCAAGUAAGUAGUCAUGGUUGCAAUAUGUUUCUGAUAUCAUGCUGUAAUAUCCAUCAGGCUUGCCCUGAUGUCACCCAUGUUGUAGACACUGCAUAGUGAGCUUGUCAAUCAUACAUUUCCCAUCUUCCCGAGGCAAGAGAGUUAACUGACUAUAAAAGUCCAGUUUCCACCCUUCCGAACUAGGCUGGUAUUAUGGAGUUACAUUUUGGCUGGACUAACGAGUCUUUGCAUAGUCCAAUCAAAAUCGCGCACCGAAAUAAAAAUCCGGUUCGUAAACUGUCGUGCAGAUUUCGGUCGAUUGCAGGAUUUGCAAAGCAUGUGCACCGCCAACUCGUUGUCAGCAGAUAUUUUCCAAAUCUUUUCAUGUUUUUAAUCAAGGUGCACAUGUGAUUUGAUGCAUUUCGCGAUGUAAGACCCGUUUUAUCACAAUAUAGAUCUUGAUUAUCGAUCAGAUUGUCCUGACUGGGUGCCACCAUUUUGUGUGAAGCAAACGCAAGUGAUGGAAUCUGAUUGGUCCAUAGGAGAGGCUUAAAAGGGACAUAACUGGUAAUAGCCACUGCUGGCGUUACGAUCGAAACCCAGUAAUUCCAGCCUAGUUCGGCAAGGGUGGAAACUGGACUUUUGAAGUCAGUUAACUCUCUUGCCUCGGGAAGAUGUACAUUUCCUGUGUUUGAGGUAGUUUGUAAAUACACUACAAAGAUGUGAAGUUUAUUUUGUUGAAGACCCUGAAGUUGUUAUUUUGUUGCUAAGAUUUAUAAGACUGUACAUAUGCCUGUGUACCAGCCACUGUUACUCCGUGUUGAAAUAAGUGCUAAGAUGUACAUGUAGAGCUGCCUCGUGUGACUCGGCUGCUUGAAAACAAAACUAGUUAGCUGACAGUUGUCUAUGGUGGGUGUCAGUCAUUCACUCCCCUCACACCAAUGUUGUCUGAUGGACAUACAGAUUAACAACAGAGUAUGAUGACAGUGUAUGAAAGUGUUUGUACAAGAGAUCCGAGCUAGACUGACCGCUAAGGCUGUAUUUAUGAAUUCCACUGUAUCAAUGGUGUCACUGGUGAAUGUUGCAGGACAGGCAUACAUGAUGCAUGAAGGGUUAAUUUUGUAAAUGUUGCACAAAGUCUGGUGGCCCAGUUUUGUAGUUUGCCUACCCAGGGUGGAUGAUUGAUAGUGGCAUGUCCCCAACCCAGGGUGGAUGAUUGAUAUUGACAUGUCCCCCACCAUGGGUGGAUGAUUGAUGUUGACAUGCCCCCCACCUAAGGUAGAUGAUUGAUAUUGACAUGCCCCCCACCUAAGGUGGAUGAUUGAUAGUGGAGCUCCCUUCCCACCCAGGGUGGAUGAUUGAUAGUGGAGCUCCCUUCCCACCCAGGGUGGAUGAUUGAUAGUGGAGCUCCCUUCCCACCCAGGGUGGAUGAUUGACAGUGAAGCUCCCUUCCCACCCAGGGUGGAUGAUUGACAGUGGCAUGUUCGCCACCAGAGUUGACAAUUGACAGUGGCAUGCCCUCCACCUCGGGUGGAUGAUUGAUAGUGGCACUGCCACCCACCCAAGGUGGAUUGAUUGUAGGAUGCCCUCCUCCCAGGGUGGAUGAUUGACAGUGGAGUUCCCUCAUCACCCAGGCGGGUGACUGAUAGUGGCAUGCCCUCCAUCCAGGGUGGAUGAUUGAUAGUGGCAUGCCCUCCUCCCAGGGUGGAUGAUUGAUAGUGGAGUUCCCUUCCCACCCAGAGUUGACAAUUGAUAGUGGCAUGCCCUCCUCCCAGGGUAGAUGAUUGAUAGUGGCAUGCCCUCCUCCCAGGGUGGAUGAUUGAUAGUGGCAUGCCCUCCUCCCAGGGUGGAUGAUUGAUAGUGGAGUUCCCUUCCCACCCAGAGUUGACAAUUGAUAGUGGCAUGCCCUCCUCCCAGGCGGGUGACUGAUAGUGGCAUGCCCUCCUCCCAGGGUGGAUGAUUGAUAGUGGAGUUCCCAUCCCACCCAGGGUGGAUGAUUGAUAGUGGCAUGCCCUCCUCCCACGCGGGUGACUGAUAGUGGCAUGCCCUCCUCCCAGGGUGGAUGAUUGAUAGUGGAGUUCCCAUCCCACCCAGGGUGGAUGAUUGAUAGUGGCAUGUUCCCCACCAAGAGUUGACAAUUGAUCGUGGCAUGCCCUCCACCCAGGGUGGAUGACUGAUAGAUUGUAUAAACUUUCAUGUAAUGUAUAUAGCCACAGUUGCCCUGCAGUCACCAUCACCAUCAGGCGCAGGGCAUAGAAACUGUCUUGUUUAUACAAGCCAAUAAAAAUAUUUGUGAAAA